CCUACGGGGGGCAGCAGUGGGGAAUAUUGCACAAUGGGCGCAAGCCUGAUGCAGCCAUGCCGCGUGUGUGAAGAAGGCCUUCGGGUUGUAAAGCACUUUCAGCGGGGAGGAAGGCGGUGAGGUUAAUAACCUCAUCGAUUGACGUUACCCGCAGAAGAAACACCGGCUAACUCCGUGCCAGCAGCCGCGGUAAUACGGAGGGUGCAAGCGUUAAUCGGAAUUACUGGGCGUAAAGCGCACGCAGGCGGUCUGUCAAGUCGGAUGUGAAAUCCCCGGGCUCAACCUGGGAACUGCAUUCGAAACUGGCAGGCUAGAGUCUUGUAGAGGGGGGUAGAAUUCCAGGUGUAGCGGUGAAAUGCGUAGAGAUCUGGAGGAAUACCGGUGGCGAAGGCGGCCCCCUGGACAAAGACUGACGCUCAGGUGCGAAAGCGUGGGGAGCAAACAGGAUUAGAUACCCGAGUAGUC
rnacentral:rRNA from 1 species